AAGAAGUUUGAUAAACUUUGCUGAGUGCCUCGUACGAAAAGUCAAGCACUAAACAUCAAGCCAAGCACAUCACAAAUCUCAUGAACACGAUGAUCAGCAGCGGCAGCAUUUGAACAGAGAGAAGGCUGCAGAAGCACAAUGCCUGGUAAAAGGGACUAGACGAGCCAACAGGAGUUCUCGUGGCACCUCUGCUCUACUUCAGAAGGAACUUCAGACCCUUAAUUCCAGUGAACCUCAGUUUCCUCAUCUGAACACGGCGAGGACCCAGCAAGGACCCAGCGAGGCCACGUGUGGUUGGGGGUGAGAAGUCAGUUGACGUUGCACACAGACACCUCUUUCAGGGACGUGCCCACCACAGGGGCUCUGGCACAGUGGCUCAUACUUCUGCCACUAACACAGGAGAAACAUUAAAACACACAAAACCUGUAUGCCAUGGAUGGAAUUGUGUCUCCCCAAAAUUCACAUAUUGAAGCCUCAACCCCCAGUGUGAGGGUAUUUGGAGGUGAGGCCUUUGGGAGGUGAUUAGGGUUUGACUAGGUCACAAGGGUAGAGCUCUUACAAUGGGAUUAGUGUCCUUAUAAGAAGAGACACCAGAGAGCGUGCCCUCUUUUUCUUGCCCUGCCACGUGAGGACGCAGGGAGAAGGCAGCUGUCUGCAACCCAGGAGGAGUAUCCUCACUAGAACCCAACCAUGUUGGCACCUUGAUCGAGGACUUCCAGCCUCCAGAACUGUGAGAAAAUAAACUUCCGUUGUUGAAGGCCCCCA
rnacentral:lncRNA from 1 species